rnacentral:rRNA from 1 species
CCUACGGGAGGCAGCAGUGAGGAAUAUUGGUCAAUGGGAGAGAGCCUGAACCAGCCAAGCCGCGUGAGGGAAGACGGCACUAUGGGUUGUAAACCUCUUUUGUCGGAGAACAAAACCCGGGACGUGUCCCGGACUGCGUGUAUCCGAAGAAAAAGCAUCGGCUAACUCCGUGCCAGCAGCCGCGGUAAUACGGAGGAUGCGAGCGUUAUCCGGAUUUAUUGGGUUUAAAGGGUGCGUAGGCGGUCCGUUAAGUCAGCGGUAAAAUUGCGGGGCUCAACCCCGUCGAGCCGUUGAAACUGGCAGACUUGAGUUGGCGAGAAGUACGCGGAAUGCGCGGUGUAGCGGUGAAAUGCAUAGAUAUCGCGCAGAACCCCGAUUGCGAAGGCAGCGUACCGGCGCCAGACUGACGCUGAGGCACGAAAGCGUGGGGAUCGAACAGGAUUAGAUACCCCUGUAGUC